rnacentral:rRNA from 1 species
UUAGAGUUUGAUCCUGGCUCAGGAUGAACGCUAGCGGCAGGCUUAACACAUGCAAGUCGAGGGGCAGCGGGGAGGAAGCUUGCUUUCUCCGCCGGCGACCGGCGCACGGGUGAGUAACACGUAUGCAACCUGCCCCUGUCAGGGGGACAACCCGCCGAAAGGCGGGCUAAACCCGCGUACAUGCCACCGGGGCAUCCCGGAGGCAGGAAAGGCUUCGGCCGGACAGGGAUGGGCAUGCGGCGCAUUAGGCAGUAGGCGGGGUAACGGCCCACCUAACCGACGAUGCGUAGGGGUUCUGAGAGGAAGGUCCCCUACACUGGAACUGAGACACGGUCCAGACUCCUACGGGAGGCAGCAGUGAGGAAUAUUGGUCAAUGGACGCAAGUCUGAACCAGCCAAGUAGCGUGCAGGAUGACGGCCCUCCGGGUUGUAAACUGCUUUUAGUUGGGAAUAAAAGGGGGCUCGUGAGCCCCGUAUUGUAUGUACCAUCAGAAAAAGGACCGGCUAAUUCCGUGCCAGCAGCCGCGGUAAUACGGAAGGUCCGGGCGUUAUCCGGAUUUAUUGGGUUUAAAGGGAGCGUAGGCCGGCUUUUAAGUCAGCUGUGAAAGUCCGCGGCUCAACCGUGGAAUUGCAGUUGAAACUGGAGGCCUUGAGUGCACACAGGGAUGCCGGAAUUCAUGGUGUAGCGGUGAAAUGCUUAGAUAUCAUGAAGAACUCCGAUCGCGAAGGCAAGUGUCCGGGGUGCAACUGACGCUGAGGCUCGAAAGUGCGGGUAUCAAACAGGAUUAGAUACCCUGGUAGUCCGCACCGUAAACGAUGAAUACUCGUGUCCCGCGAUAUAUUGUGGGACACUUAGCGAAAGCGUUAAGUAUUCCACCUGGGGAGUACGCCGACAACGGUGAAACUCAAAGGAAUUGACGGGGGCCCGCACAAGCGGAGGAACAUGUGGUUUAAUUCGAUGAUACGCGAGGAACCUUACCCGGGCUCAAACGACACAGGAAUACUUUUGAAAGGAGGUAGCCCUACGGGGUCUGUGUCGAGGUGCUGCAUGGUUGUCGUCAGCUCGUGCCGUGAGGUGUCGGCUUAAGUGCCAUAACGAGCGCAACCCCUAUCGCCAGUUACCAUCAAGUAAAGUUGGGGACUCUGGCGAGACUGCCGGCGCAAGCUGAGAGGAAGGCGGGGAUGACGUCAAAUCAGCACGGCCCUUACGUCCAGGGCUACACACGUGUUACAAUGGGGGGUACAGAAAGCAGCUACACGGCGACGUGAGGCUAAUCCCUAAAUCCUCUCUCAGUUCGGAUUGGAGUCUGCAACCCGACUCCAUGAAGCUGGAUUCGCUAGUAAUCGCGCAUCAGCCACGGCGCGGUGAGUACGUUCCCGGGCCUUGCACACACCGCCCGUCA